GACGAGGGAUCCUAGCGUUGUUCGGAAUCACUGGGCGGAAAGCGUUUGUAGGCGGCUCUAUAAGUCGGGUGUGAAAUCCCACGGCUCAACCGUGGAAGUGCAUUCGAAACUGCAGAGCUUGAAUAUGGUAGAGGAGAGUAGAAUUCCUGGUGUAGUGGUGAAAUACGUAGAUAUCAGGAGGAAUACCAGUGGCGAAGGCGACUCUCUGGACCAAUAUUGACGCUGAGAAACGAAAGUGCGGGGAUCAAACAGG
rnacentral:rRNA from 1 species